GAUGAACGCUAGCUACAGGCUUAACACAUGCAAGUCAGGGGCAGCAUUACGGUAGCUUGCUACUGUAGAUGGCGACCGGCGCACGGGUGAGUAACGCGUAUCCAACCUGCCCAUGACUUGGGGAUAACCUUGCGAAAGCAAGCCUAAUACCCGAUACGCUUCAUAGACGGCAUCUGAAAUGAAGUAAAGGUUUACGGUUAUGGAUGGGGGAUGCGUCCGAUUAGCUUGUUGGCGGGUAACGGCCCACCAAGGCAUCGAUCGGUAGGGGUUCUGAGAGGAAGGUCCCCCACAUUGGAACUGAGACACGGUCCAAACUCCUACGGGAGGCAGCAGUCGGGAAUAUUGCGCAAUGGAGGAAACUCUGACGCAGUGACGCCGCGUGCAGGAAGAAGGUUUUCGGAUUGUAAACUGCUUUAGACAGGGAAGAAACAAGACAGUACCUGUAGAAUAAGCUCCGGCUAACUACGUG
rnacentral:rRNA from 1 species